GAACUGGCCCCAGGCAACCAAUGGGAGAAGACUACAGCCGAGUAGAACUGGCCCCAGCCAACCAAUGGGAGAAGACUACGGCUGUCUGGACUAGAUGAGUCUACAUCGCAAAGGCAGUGAAGUCAUUCAAGAUAUUCAGUCAUGAUUCAGAGCAACGAGAUCAGCUGACAGACUAUGGUGCAGAGGAGCGGGACCUCCUGCUAGACCACAGUCUUAACAAGUCUGGCCAGAGAGGACUAUCAAUCCAUGAGGACAUUCAUCUUUAGGAACUACAUGGACAAGUCUUACCAUGCCUUCUGGGAGAUGAUGGUAACAAAGUUGCCAUUCUGCUCCGAUUACAAGAACAUCCUACAUCUUGUGCACAUCAUGCUGGUCCUCCCGGUCUCCUCGGCUGUAUGUGAAAGGGGAUUUUCUGCUCAGAAGAGGAUUAAAUCUG